rnacentral:rRNA from 1 species
AUUGAACGCUGGCGGCAUGCUUUACACAUGCAAGUCGAACGGUAACAGGCCUUCGGGCGCUGACGAGUGGCGAACGGGUGAGUAAUGCAUCGGAACGUGCCCAGUCGUGGGGGAUAACUAUCCGAAAGGAUAGCUAAUACCGCAUACGAUCUGCGGAUGAAAGCGGGGGACCUUCGGGCCUCGCGCGAUUGGAGCGGCCGAUGCCAGAUUAGGUAGUUGGUGGGGUAAAGGAUCACCAAGCCAACGAUCUGUAGCUGGUCUGAGAGGACGACCAGCCACACUGGGACUGAGACACGGCCCAGACUCCUACGGGAGGCAGCAGUGGGGAAUUUCGGACAAUGGGCGCAAGCCUGAUCCAGCAAUGCCGCGUGCAGGAAGAAGGCCUUCGGGUUGUAAACUGCUUUUGUACGGAACGAAACGGCUCUGGUUAAUACCCGGGGCUAAUGACGGUACCGUAAGAAUAAGCACCGGCUAACUACGUGCCAGCAGCCGCCGCGG